AUGGGCCGGCCCAGGCCUCCCACCUGGCGCUUCGACCUGGCGGCGCUAUACGUCGACGCCCUUGUGGUGGACGGGACUUCACUGGUGGCCCCUUCCGACCACACUGAGAUCAAGGCCGCGGUCGAUACCCUGGACCGAACCAGCGCCCCUGGGCCGGACGGCCUGGGCCCUGCGUUCUACAAGGCUGCCUGGGCGGUGGUGGCGUCGGAUAUUCUCCAUCUCUUCGAGGAGUUCCACGCCGGCACUGCUCGUCUCGACGGCAUCAACCGGGCCUUCAUCGCCCUCCUCCCCAAGAAGCCGGGGGUGCCAACCCCGGCUGAUUUCCGCCCCGUCUCGCUCCAAAACGGCGACAUAAAAAUCCUUUGUCGAGGGCUCACGACCAAGAUUCAACGACAAAUCGCCCACCUGAUCUACGAAGACCAAUCUGGCUUCGUGCGAGGCCGCAGCAUUUCGGAGAACUUCGUGUAUGCCACGGAAUUGGUGCAGUGCUGCCAUCGGCGGCAAGCCCCGACGAUGGUGCUUAAGAUUGAUUUCGCCAAAGCCUUCGACUCCAUCAACUGGGCAAGUUUGUUCGCCGUCAUGGAGGUGAGGGGGUUCCCGCCGCUCUGGUGCGCAUGGCUGGACUCCCUCUUCCACUCCUCGCACUCGGCGGUCCUUCUCAACGGUGUGCCGGGGAGGUGGUUCCAAGUUGGGUGCGGCCUGCGCCAAGGAGACCCCAUCUCCCCCUACCUCUUCAUCAUCAUCGCCGACAUCCUGCAGCGUCUCAUU
rnacentral:rRNA from 1 species